AUUGAACGCUGGCGGCAUGCCUUACACAUGCAAGUCGAACGGCAGCACGGGUGCUUGCACCUGGUGGCGAGUGGCGAACGGGUGAGUAAUACAUCGGAACGUACCUUAUCGUGGGGGAUAACGCAGCGAAAGCUGUGCUAAUACCGCAUACGCCCUGAGGGGGAAAGCGGGGGAUCGAAAGACCUCGCGCGAUUAGAGCGGCCGAUGCCUGAUUAGCUUGUUGGUGGGGUAAAAGCCCACCAAGGCGACGAUCAGUAGCUGGUCUGAGAGGACGAUCAGCCACACUGGGACUGAGACACGGCCCAGACUCCUACGGGAGGCAGCAGUGGGGAAUCUUAGACAAUGGGGGAAACCCUGAUCUAGCCAUGCCGCGUGAGCGAUGAAGGCCUUAGGGUGUAAAGCUCUUUCAGUGGGGAAGAUAAUGACGGUACCCACAGAAGAAGCCCCG
rnacentral:rRNA from 1 species